AUUGAACGCUGGCGGCAUGCCUUACACAUGCAAGUCGAACGGCAGCACGGGAGCAAUCCUGGUGGCGAGUGGCGAACGGGUGAGUAAUGUAUCGGAACGUACCUUUCAGUGGGGGAUAACGUAGCGAAAGUUACGCUAAUACCGCAUAUUCUGUGAGCAGGAAAGCAGGGGAUCGCAAGACCUUGCGCUGAUUGAGCGGCCGAUAUCAGAUUAGCUAGUUGGUGAGGUAAAGGCUCACCAAGGCGACGAUCCGUAGCGGGUCUGAGAGGAUGAUCCGCCACACUGGAACUGAGACACGGUCCAGACUCCUACGGGAGGCAGCAGUGGGGAAUUUUGGACAAUGGGCGCAAGCCUGGUCCAGCCAUGCCGCGUGAGUGAAGAAGGCCUCGG
rnacentral:rRNA from 1 species